UCUCCGUAGGUGAACCUGCGGAGGGAUCAUUACAGAGUUCGUGCCCUCACGGGUGGAUCUCCCACCCUGUGUUAUUAUACCUUUGUUGCUUUGGCGGGCCUCCCUCGUCUACCGGCCCCGGCUGGUACGCGCCCGCCAGAGGACUCCAAACUCUGACUGUUAGUGUUGUCUGAGUACUAUACAAUAGUUAAAACUUUCAACAACGGAUCUCUUGGUUCUG
rnacentral:misc_RNA from 1 species